rnacentral:rRNA from 1 species
UACGUAGGUGGCAAGCGUUGUCCGGAAUUAUUGGGCGUAAAGAGCGCGCAGGCGGUCCUUUAAGUCUGAUGUGAAAGCCCACGGCUCAACCGUGGAGGGUCAUUGGAAACUGGGGGACUUGAGUACAGAAGAGGAAAGCGGAAUUCCACGUGUAGCGGUGAAAUGCGUAGAGAUGUGGAGGAACACCAGUGGCGAAGGCGGCUUUCUGGUCUGUAACUGACGCUGAGGCGCGAAAGCGUGGGGAGCAAACAGG